AUUGAACGCUGACGGCAGGCCUAACACAUGCAAGUCGAGCGGAUGACGGGAGCUUGCUCCUUGAUUCAGCGGCGGACGGGUGAGUAAUGCCUAGGAAUCUGCCUGGUAGUGGGGGACAACGUUUCGAAAGGAACGCUAAUACCGCAUACGUCCUACGGGAGAAAGCAGGGGACCUUCGGGCCUUGCGCUAUCAGAUGAGCCUAGGUCGGAUUAGCUAGUAGGUGGGGUAAUGGCGCACCAAGGCGACGAUCCGUAACUGGUCUGAGAGGAUGAUCAGUCACACUGGAAGUGAGACACGGUCCAGACGCCUACGGGAGGCAGCAGUGGGGAAUAUUGGACAAUGGGCGAAAGCCUGAUCCAGCCAUGCCGCGUGUGUGAAGAAGGUCUUCGGAUUGUAAAGCACUUUAAGUUGGGAGGAAGGGCAGUAAGUUAAUACCUUGCUGUUUUGACGUUACCGACAGAAUAAGCACCGGCUAACUCUGUGCCAGCCGCCGCUGUAAAAC
rnacentral:rRNA from 1 species